UACGUAGGGGGCAAGCGUUGUCCGGAAUCAUUGGGCGUAAAGCGCGCGUAGGCGGCCCGGUAAGUCCGCUGUAAAAGUCCAGGGCUCAACCCUGGAAAGCCGGUGGAUACUGUCGGGCUAGAGUCCGGAAGAGGCGAGUGGAAUUCCUGGUGUAGCGGUGGAAUGCGUAGAUAUCGUCUGGAACGCCAAUGGUGAAAACAGGUCGCUGGGAGUGUGCUGACGCUGAGACACGAAAGCCAGGGGAGCAAACGGG
rnacentral:rRNA from 1 species